UAAGGCGGUUAUAGCGACGGGGCUCACCUCUUACCUUUCCGAACAGAGAAGUUAAGCCCGUUAGCGCCGAUGGUACUGCACCCGUGGGAGAGUAGGUCGUCGCCUUUU
rfam:Mangrovimonas sp. DI 80 WGS_KM_S5._contig_11, whole genome shotgun sequence.